CCUACGGGAGGCAGCAGUGAGGAAUAUUGGUCAAUGGGCGAGAGCCCGAACCAGCCAAGUAGCGUGCAGGACGACGGCCCUAUGGGUUGUAAACUGCUUUUAUGCGGGGAUAAAGUGGGGGACGCGUCCCUUUUUGCAGGUACCGCAUGAAUAAGGACCGGCUAAUUCCGUGCCAGCAGCCGCGGUA
rnacentral:rRNA from 1 species